rnacentral:rRNA from 1 species
AAUUCAUAGCGGAGAAAGAACCAACAGGGAUUACCUCAGUAACGGCGAGUGAAGCGGUAACAGCUCAAAUUUGAAAUCUGGCUCUUUCAGGGUCCGAGUUGUAAUUUGUAGAAGAUGCUUUGGGUGUGGCCCCGGUCUAAGUUCCUUGGAACAGGACGUCAUAGAGGGUGAGAAUCCCGUAUGUGACUGGGUGCUUUCGCCCGUGUAAAGCUCUUUCGACGAGUCGAGUUGUUUGGGAAUGCAGCUCAAAAUGGGUGGUAAAUUUCAUCUAAAGCUAAAUAUUGGCCAGAGACCGAUAGCGCACAAGUAGAGUGAUCGAAAGAUGAAAAGCACUUUGGAAAGAGAGUUAAACAGUACGUGAAAUUGUUGAAAGGGAAGCGCUUGCAACCAGACUCGCAUGCCGCUGAUCAUCCGGGGUUCUCCCCGGUGCACUCGGUGGUCUACGGGCCAGCAUCGGUUUGGGUGGCGGGAUAAAGGCUGUGGGAAUGUAGCUUCUCUCGGGGAGUGUUAUAGCCCACGGUGCAAUGCCGCCUACCUGGACCGAGGACCGCGCUUCGGCUAGGAUGCUGGCGUAAUGGUUGUAAGCGACCCGUCUUGAAACACGGACCAAGGAGUCUAACAUCUAUGCGAGUAUUUGGGUGUUAAACCCAUAUGCGUAAUGAAAGUGAACGGAGGUAAGAACCCUUUAGGGUGCAUUAUCGACCGAUCCUGAUGUCUUCGGAUGGAUUUGAGUAAGAGCAUAGCUGUUGGGACCCGAAAGAUGGUGAACUAUGCCUAAAUAGGGUGAAGCCAGAGGAAACUCUGGUGGAGGCUCGCAGCGGUUCUGACGUGCAAAUCGAUCGUCAAAUUUGGGUAUAGGGGCGAAAGACAAUCGACA